rnacentral:rRNA from 1 species
GACGAACGCUGGCGGCGUGCUUAACACAUGCAAGUCGAACGCUGAAGCUUGGUGCUUGCACUGGGUGGAUGAGUGGCGAACGGGUGAGUAAUACGUGAGUAACCUGCCCUUGACUCUGGGUUAAGCCUGGGAAACUGGGUCUAAUACUGGAUACGACAUGUCACCGCAUGGUGGUGUGUGGAAAGGGUUUUACUGGUUUUGGAUGGGCUCACGGCCUAUCAGCUUGUUGGUGGGGUAAUGGCUCACCAAGGCGACGACGGGUAGCCGGCCUGAGAGGGUGACCGGCCACACUGGGACUGAGACACGGCCCAGACUCCUACGGGAGGCAGCAGUGGGGAAUAUUGCACAAUGGGCGGAAGCCUGAUGCAGCGACGCCGCGUGAGGGAUGACGGCCUUCGGGUUGUAAACCUCUUUCAGCACGGAAGAAGCGAAAGUGACGGUACGUGCAGAAGAAGCGCCGGCUAACUACGUG